rnacentral:rRNA from 1 species
GUGAGGAAUAUUGCGCAAUGGAGGCAACUCUGACGCAGCCAUGCCGCGUGCAGGAAGAAGGCGCUACGCGUUGUAAACUGCUUUUAACCGGGAAGAAACCCCAGGACGUGUCCUGGGUUGACGGUACCGGAGGAAUAAGCACCGGCUAACUUCGUGCCAGCAGCCGCGGUAAUACGAAGGGUGCAAGCGUUAUCCGGAUUCAUUGGGUUUAAAGGGUGCGUAGGCGGAGCGUUAAGUCAGUGGUGAAAUCCUGCAGCUUAACUGUAGACUUGCCAUUGAGACUGGCGCUCUUGAGUGCGCUUGAAGUGGGCGGAAUGUGCCGUGUAGCGGUGAAAUGCUUAGAUAUGGCACAGAACACCAAUUGCGAAGGCAGCUCACUAAGGCGAUACUGACGCUGAGGCACGAAAGCGUGGGGAUCGAACAGGAUUAGAAACCCGUGUAGUCC